UGCCACAGCCAUAUCACCCUGCAGCCCAAGACUGGUUGCUCACUGAAGCUAAGCAGGGUUGAGCCUGGUCAGUACCUGGAUGGGAGACCUCCUGAGAAAACUAGGUUGCUGUUGGAA
rnacentral:rRNA from 1 species